UACGUAGGGUCCGAGCGUUGUCCGGAAUUAUUGGGCGUAAAGGGCUCGUAGGCGGUCUGUUGCGUCGGGAGUGAAAAUUCACAGCUUAACUGUGAACUUGCUUCCGAUACGGGCAGACUUGAGGUAUUCAGGGGGAGAACGGAAUUCCUGGUGUAGCGGUGGAAUGCGCAGAUAUCAGGAGGAACACCGGUGGCGAAGGCGGGUCUCUGGGCAGUAACUGACGCUGGAGGAGCGAAAGCGUGGGGAGCGAACAGG
rnacentral:rRNA from 1 species